rnacentral:lncRNA from 1 species
GGAACAGUGUCUUCAUAGCCACUGUGUCCUCAUUGCCUGGCCUGGGACCUGGCCCUCCUUGUAAAUGUGUGUUGCCUCCUUGUUGCUUCCUCUGUGCUGUGUUUCAUUGUGAAGCAGAUGAGGCUUUCUGGAUUUAAGGCUUCCCUGCUCAGCAACCCAACACUGCGAACCUUCCCUCCAAUUGUUCAUCCAUUCCAAAGACUUGUGGAGGAGGUACCGCGCCCUGUGCCUGGCGCUGGUAAACAGAGAGCAGCCUUUGUCUCCUAUGAGACAACUUAAACACUGAGGUUUCCUGUGUCCCGGGCAGCCUUCUUUGCUCUCUGACGUUCCUGGGAAACCUGACGAGCACCAAUCACAGUCAUUACUGUGUAUGUGAUGACGGUUCCCACACAGAAUGAUUUUAAGACAAGAUGAACUUCCGCUGACUGGAAAGCAUGACGGUGUCCCCAAAACAACUCACACACACCAUUUCCAAACUUUAAUUCAUCUCUGUUCCCAAAGCACCUUCUCUUUUUCUUUUCUUUUCUUUUCUUUUCUUUCUUUCAAGGCAGGAUUUCCCUCUGUACCCCAGGGGGGAGUUCAGCGGCACGAUCUCAGCUUACUGCAACCUCCGCCUUCCAGGCUCAAGCGAUCCUCCUGCCUCAGCCUCUACAGGUAGCUGGGACCACAGGCACCAGCCACCAUGCCUGGUUAAUUUCUGUAUCUUUUAGUAGAGACGGGGUUUCCCUAUGUUUCCCAGGCUGAUCUCAAAUUCCCGAGCUCAAGCGAUCCACCCACCUCAGCCUCCCUAAAUGCUGGGAUUAUAGGUGUGAGCCACUGCGCCUGUCUUUAUGUCCCUGUCUUGACAAAUAGCUACAGCCCCUACCCACAUGCCUUAAACCAGAAACUCAGGUUCUGCCUCUAUCCUGUGCCCCAGUGUCUCACAACUCUCAGUUGCUAAGGCCUCGGGACUCACCUUGGAGGAGCCGCCUCCCCAGGGCCUGCUUUCCUUAGGCCUUUUCCUGGUGAUGUUCCUUAGAACAACUCCUGGCCCCCCACUCUGCCCAAACUUCUUUCAGGGCCCAGCUCCCGUCUCACCCACUGCUGGACUUCCCCAGCCGUACCUGAGCACCUCCCCUGGCACCACCAGAUGGGCAGCACAGUGCGGACGUUUUCAAUCCACGCAUCCAAGAGCUGCUCUUGCAGUGAGCAGGCAGGGCGCAGAGCGCCACCUCCAGGGCAGCGUGCGUCUCCUCAAUUCCAAGAUGCACCUGUUUUUCACAUUUUACUGUUUCUGAAAUCAAAACCCAGGCUCGCCAUCGGUGGCCUCCUUAACAUGGAGAAAAUGCUAGAAAGACAGAUACAUUUAAAAAUGGGCCAGGCGUGGUGGCUCACACCUGUAAUCCCAGCACUUUGGGAGAGCGAGGCAGGCGGAUCACUUGAGGUCAGGAGUUUGAGACCAGACUGGCGAACAAGGUGAAGCCCCAUCUCUACUAAAAAUAGAAAACUUAGCCACGCAUGGUGGCGCAUGCCUGUAGUCCCAGCUUCUCAGGAGGCUGAGGCAGAAGAAUCGCUUGAAACCAGGAGGCAGAAGUUGCAGUGAGCCCAGAUCAUGCCAUUGCACUCCAGUCUGGGCAACAAAGAGACACUCUGUCUCAAAAAAAAAAAGAAAAAAAA